CAAUUCAUUGAGCUCCAUCUCAAUAUCAGGAUCUCGAACUGAGCUGGCGACAAUUGUUCUCCCAGGCAGCAGUUCUCCUCUCUGUUAAACAGGAAAAACAACAAGAAAUUGUCAAGCAGACAUAUAAAUUGAAAAAUUUAAGGAAUUUUACAAAGAUAUUUGUACUGUUUCCUUUCCUUCAGGCUUUUGUAUAGAUAUCUGAAAAGACAUAUAAAAAGAACAAAACAAAAAAAAAAGGUCUGUCCUGAAAUAUUUUUGGCUUCAAGCUCAAUUCCACCCCUGUACCUAUUGGAAAAAUUCAAUUUAGUCCAUUUUUAACUUUUUGUCCAAUUUACCCAAUAGUUUCAAUUUAAACUCAAUUUAGCUAAAAUAUCAAGAAAAACA
rnacentral:misc_RNA from 1 species